UCCAACGUUUUAUCGUCCAUCUUAUUUAAAAUAUUUUUAUAAUUAGUAUUUUUUAAUUAGAUGAUAAUAUAUGAAUAGUACUUUAUCGAUUACUUAUUCUUAUUUUUUAUUAAUAUUUUAAAUAAGAUAUACGGCCAAAUGUUGAACAUAGAAAACUAUAACUUCACUUAAA
rfam:Oryza rufipogon genomic scaffold, chr02